rnacentral:rRNA from 1 species
UACGUAGGGCGCAAGCGUUAUCCGGAAUUAUUGGGCGUAAAGAGCGUGUAGGCGGCCAGACAGGUCCGUUGUGAAAACUAGAGGCUUAACCUCUAGACGUCGAUGGAAACCGUUUGGCUAGAGUCCGGAAGAGGAGAAUGGAAUUCCUGGUGUAGCGGUGAAAUGCGCAGAUAUCAGGAAGAACACCCGUGGCUAAGGCGGUUCUCUAGUACGGUACUGACGCUGAGACGCGAAAGCGUGGGGAGCGAACAGG